rnacentral:sRNA from 1 species
GUCGCUGAAACAGCAGCGAUUCGGGCUUGGAACCCCGAUAUGCAAGAGGCGGACGACCGCCGCAGUGCGGUUUUUUU